rnacentral:rRNA from 1 species
GUGAAGCGGCAAGAGCUCAGAUUUGAAAUCGCAGCACCAUGCUGCGAGUUGUAGAUUGCAGGUGGGAGAGUCUGCGUAGGCCGGUGUCGAAGUCCCUUGGAACAGGGCGCCACUGAGGGUGAGAGCCCCGUGCGAUGCCACGCUCUACGUUUUGUACUCCCCUCUGACGAGUCGAGUUGUUUGGGAAUGCAGCUCUAAGUGGGUGGUAAAUUCCAUCUAAGGCUAAAUACUGGCGAGAGACCGAUAGCGAACAAGUACUGUGAAGGAAAGAUGAAAAGCACUUUGAAAAGAGAGUGAAACAGCACGUGAAAUUGUUGAAAGGGAAGGGUAUUGGGCCCGACAUGGGAAUCGCGCACCGCUGCUCCUUGUGGGCGGCGCUCUGGGCUUUUCCUGGGCCAGCAUCGGUUCUUGCUGCAGGAGAAGGGGCUGUGGAAUGUGGCUGCCGCGCUUUGCCGGGGCAGUGUUAUAGCCACUGGGCCAGAUGCUGCGUGUGGGGACCGAGGACUGCGGCCGCAAGGUCUCGGAUGCUGGCACAACGGCGCAAUACCGCCCGUCUUGA